rnacentral:tRNA from 1 species
GCGGCCAUCGAUUAAGGGCUAGAUCCUGUGCCUUCCAAGCAUAAGAUGUGGGUUCGAAUCCCACUGGCCGCU